AGAGAGGGACCUGAGCAACCACAGCAUCAUGGAAAUCCUGGAGGAGCAGAUGAAUGGCUUCUACAGGGUGUUCUCCAUCCUGAAAUACCCUGUCAAGUAAAAUGAGAAAUAUAUCUGCUACAUAACAGAGACAGAUGUGAACGACCAGCUUUUCAGAAUCAUCCACAAGUACCCAAAUUCUAUCACAUUCUCUAUGUGUCUUUUCAGACUGAAGAAUCUAGGUUGGCUCAGGCCACCUUCACACGGAAGCCUCUCCCCUUCACUGCUGCUCACAUGUCAUCUCCGGAAUGCCUCAUGCUGCCUAUGCUUAGGGCUUUCUUGAGGUGGCCCAGACACAGCAUAGCACACUAGAUGCUUGGUUUCUAUAGAAUGAUCAGUUCCUGUGUUCUGCAAUGGUCUUGUCUAGUCAUAGCAGAAGUAUAGCUGUAUAGUAAGCACUUACAGAGUUAGAAACAUGUUAGGCCUGUUCAUAUAGGACUGAAAAUCAUCUCACAAAGAUCUGUGAGGAUUAGGGAUUCAUCCCUGUUUGCACUGAGGAGACUGUGACUUCAAGAGCUGGGCCAUGACUGAGGUAAGAGUCAGACCCAGGUGGCUCCAACUCUGGUACUUGAGAGAGGUACUUCCGUUCUCAUGGUCCACAGUGACGAGUUGGAGAGUCUCCCCUGUGACAUACCACACUGCCUUCUCAACACAGGAAUACCCAGUGACUCCACUGCUACUGACAGGGUCUUUCGGGCUCCCCAUUACGAAAGCAACACUCCUCAGAGUGAUUCCUGGGAGUUCCCAAGAUAUCUUGUCACUCUUCCUAAAAUGUGUUUUUGUAAGGCUGCCACUAGUUUCAUAAUUUCACCCUUCGGUUUCUUAGGAAAGCCCAAGUGGAAGUUUCUAAUACAGACCAUUUAUCUGCCCUGAAUUAGCUUGUUAGGUUUGAAUAUGGUUCUUGUUUUCUCCUCUCCAAUUGUCUACCUAAGACUUGCCCACUUUGAAGGCCAAUGUAGAGAGUAUAAAUCCUCCAGUCUUCUUCAGUAAUGGCCAAGGAAAAUGAUUUAAACCCAUCAAAAUGCUAUUUGAUGAAUGCCUGUAACAGCAAAACAAAAAAAGAGAACGGUCUGUAAUAAGCAUGGUGCAAGCUCCGUGGCAUAAAUCCAAAAGGAAGGCCUGGGUGCGGUGGCUCACGCCUGUCAUUCCAGCACUUUGGGAGGUUGAGGUGGGAGGAUUACUUGAGCCCAGGAGUUCCAGACCAGCCUGGGCAACAUGGCAAAACCCCGUCUCUACAAAAAAUAAGAUUAGUUGGGCGUGGUGACAUGGGCAUAUAGUCCCAGCUACUCAGGAGGCUGAGGUGAGAAGACUGCUUGAGCCCAGGAGUCUGAGGCUGCAGUGAGCUAGGAUCAUGCCACUGCACUCCAGCCUGGGUGACAGGGUAAGACCCUGUAUCUAAAAAUAACAACAAAAAACCCAAAAAGGAGCAGAGGAUGUAGCUGCCCCCACCACAGGAGUGUCUAACCUAGUUGGGCUGAUGAAACAAGAAUACAGGCCAAUGCAGUCCUAAGUAAUGGGGCCAACUCCAGGAGAUGGGACUUCACAGAAGAGAUGGGACUUGAGCCGAGCUCUUAAGAAAGGUAGGAUCUGGAUGGAACAUCUAUAGGUUUUUGAGCAGGAGAGUGUUAAGAAAAACACUUGAACAGUGGCACAUGGCAAGAAAUGGGUAAGGCGGAAUUGGGGGCAGAAGGAAAUCAGUUGGAACAGGCCUGGGGUGAUGAGAGUUGCAUCUACACUAGUGGUGGCAUGGUUACAGAAGGAAGGGAUCCAAGAGAAAUCUCUACAGAAUAACGAGGUCUGGCAACAUCCUGAAUAGGGAGAGGAAGGAGACAGUCUGGGGGGCUGCCAGAUCUUUGGCUUUGAGGGCCUGGAAGGUUGGUUGUGUGUCUCUGUCAGAGAUGAAGCCUGGGAAAGGUGUCCCGUGAGAGUGGGGUGGGCAAUGAUGAGUCAGUUAUGGACAUGUGUCUCAAGGGACAGUGAAACAUCCCACCGACAGCUGCCAAUAUUGGCUAAAGAUGCAUAUCUGGGCGUCAUCUGUGUAAGGGUGAGAAAUGGAGGCAGAGGAACAAAUGAGCUCAGGAGGAGAGGGUGGGAUGGAAGGCUGAGGGCGGCUAGGGCAUGGAAGGAAAAGGGGGAGCACAGACAGCAGGAAGAACAUUCCACAAGGGGUCUCUGUGCAAAUCAGAAAAGGCACCUUCCUCUCCAGGAGAUGCAGCACAUGGCCAGGGUAUGGGGCUUGGCUAGCAGAGCGUAGCUUGGAUUUCAGCCCCUGUCACCUCCUCAUGCAGUCAGCAGCCUGCACAAUGGUAUGAGAACUCUGACAGCAAAGCAGCCAAGAGAGUAGAUAGAGUAGGAGCAUUCAGAGAACUGAGAGGAAAACCAGGAAGCCUAGAGAGCUCCCAGAAAUGGAUCAUGAAUGCCAUGUACGAGAAAUCAUUUGGCAAAUGUUGGGAUAAAACAGCCAAAAAAAAAAAAAAAAAGCUUUUAAACUUCUGCUGAAACCUGAACUAGUAACCUGGAGUGUAAGCCAGGCAGAGGCAGUGAUGUCCUGUGUAAGAAUAAUUAAUGCAGGAGGACUGAAAUGGGCCCUGGAUAUAUCUCUACCUCUAACAUAUGGUGUGACAUGGGGCAAGGUGCUUGACCUCUCUGGGCCUCAGUUUCCUCAGCUAUAAAAUGCAGAGGUUAUAGAUGAUGCCUAAGUCCCUUAAGCUGUAAGAAUUCUAUUAAUUAGAAAGCUCAGGAAUUUACCACUUCAGAUGUUCCUGAAUAUCAAACUUCACUCUCCCAAGGAAGCUAACCUAAAUGGCCAAACUAAAGAAAGUGGUUAUGUAUACAGUCACAUGAGGGUGUUUCAGGGUUUUUGCUGGGUUCUGAAGGGGGGAUUAAAGUUGGCUCUCAUAGUCAAAGGAUUCUCAUAAGCAAUGCCUUUUCAUUCCCUCCCAGAUCAUGGCAGAGGGAAUCAGGGAAGCAGUAAUGGAACCCCAAUUGAGUGUCCUGAUUUUGUUUCUAGUGAACUGGCUGGAACCCUCUACUCCCCUAGAAUGCUAUUAAUAAAGUUUUUAUUCUACUUGCAUUUGCCUUGCAAGGAGAAAAGGGAAGAAAAGAAAGGAGAGAAAGGCUAAAGGAAAUUCACAUGCGAUACACAAUUCUUCAUUCCUGCCAAGAACCUGUCACUGAAGUAUGUCUGGGGCUGCCAGGGCUCACAUUUACUCAGCAUUCAUGCUCUAAUUAUUUCCACAUGUAGUUCAAGGAAAAUGGUUGAUCAAAAGUUUAAAAAAAAAAAAAUCCCACACACCUAAAUCCCAGUACCUUCAAAUGAAAGAAGGGAGAAAGCUCUAGGGCAGCUGUGGGAAAAUUCUCAAGACAGGCAGUUUUAGAAGCAUCCCCUGCAGUGCCUGCCACAUCUGGGCCAACAUCCCUACACAUUCCCAUCCCUCCAUCCCGUACAAGCCCACCCUCCACCCACUCCCAGCUUCCCAAGCCCUGAACCCAUUAGGAUUUGCAUUCUUUGGAGUUCCAAGUGGAAUGUAGGAUUUAUUCCCCUGAUACGGUGGAAGGCAGAUGAGACGGAUAUUGCCUAAGAGGUAUCUAGUUCUCCACUCCACCCAUUUUUGCCUUGGUGUCACUGAAUUUAAGUAGUCCCUGGGUGGUUCCUGAUACCACACACCUGCUGGGAAUGGAAUCCACUGUGGCAGAGAGCUUGCUUGCUUCCCUGAGCUGGAACAGUACCCCCAUCACUUCUGUGGCUGCUUUCCAUUACCCCAAUUUGCGCAUGAUUCCCCCUAAACCUGCAAGCUAAGCCACUAUUCUCCAUGGUGGUCCCCAUGCCCUGGCACUGAGUUGGAUGCCCAACACUGUCACCUACUGCCUUCUACCUGGGCACUGUUAACAAAGUCUUUGGCACAUGGCACAGGGCGUUUGUCCUCUCUCCUGGGUGACUUCAUUGUUCAUGUAGCCUCGAGAUCCGUGGACUCCUCACUUUGAGCAACCCUCCACUUCUUAGGGACCCUGGCUACUGAGAGCUUUGGGAAGUGUCUGUGAGCAGAGCAGGUAGCCACAGCAGAUUUAAGCUGUAAGUGGACUAAAAUUUAAAAAAAGGGUCUAGGGCUCCCAAGGCUCCAUGUUUUGAAAUGAAAACUCAUUAGCCUUUGAAAAUGUCAGCAUGAUGAGGAAUUGUCAGAUGCUUCUUUAAACUUCAGAUGGGCAGAGAAUGUCCCACAAGACCACCUAAAAAAUAAUGUCACCAUCUGGGAAGUCUGAUUUGUUGUCUGGCUUGCUCAAAUUCUCCCUGUCCUUCAAGGCUUGGGUCAAGUUACACCACUUCAUCCUCAGUGACCUUUUACUUUCUACUGGUAUGAAUUCCCCCUUCCUUCUCUGAACUUUGAUUCCUCUUUGUAUGAACUCAUUUUGAUCACUUAUUUUUUUUAAAAACAGAACUAAUUGUGUGGAUUUUGUCUUUCUGGCUGACCUAUAAGCUCCUAGAGGACAAAGAUUCUGUUUGUCCAUCCUUUUGUAGGACCUAGCAUAGUACCUUGUGCCACUCCAUUAACCUUUGUUGAAAGCAAAAAAAGGUGGAUUGAACCACACUGCCCUGGGGACUUGGGAUAGGGACAGAGAGGAACAACACCUGUGCCAACUCCUUUCCUGGGGCUGCUCCCUCCCAGAACUGGUCUUCUUUGAGGAAAUACCCUGAAGACCCUGCCCUCCACCACCAGGCCAUAUAUAUUAAGCUUGGAAUUUCACUAAUUAGAGAUUGUCUUAGGCCCACAGAAAGACAUUAAAGAGUGUGUUUGUGCACGUGUGUGUGCAUGCAUAUGUGUGUUAAUGAGGUAGAACAGCAACGGAGGACUAAAAUGGCUUUCAGUCAUUUCCUUUGUCCACAGUUUAAAUAUAUAACCUAACUGAGACAUGCUGAGAGAAUGAGAAUUUGGUGAAGAGGAAGAUAAGGUAAUGUGGGAAUGUGGGGUACCUUAGAGCAAAGCAAAAUUGGGUGAGAUUUCUGAGUAUAGGGUAGGGGCAGCCAAAGAGCUGCCUGAUACCUUGGGGGCCUAUACUAGGGGAAGUAGAGAUGAAGAGAAGCAAGUGAGAAGAAGGCAGGAGAAACUGCGGAAAUGGGCUUAUUAUCUGAGGCCAGUGCUUUGCGUGAACUCUUCUGAGGAACCCCGCCCUUACACUGUCUUCUGAGGUAGAGGGAGGAAGGCUGGCCAACAUUCCUAGACCAGGAAAAAAGCUUCUUGCCUUGCUCUACCCCUCCUCCACUCCCAAAAUAUUCUGGGGAUCUCUAACUCCUCCCCUCUGGCUCAUCCACUAGGCUGACCUCGCAGUGGGCUGGAAUACACUGAAACACGAGUUGCCAGGGGACAGCAAGGCCUUAGGUGUGCCCACGUGGUUUAUCUCCCCUUGGAUUGGGCACAUUAAUAGGAACUGUGAUGCCCAACCAAAAGGUGAGACCAUCUGAUACAAUGGUGGAGGCUGGGGGGCUAGUAGGGAUGUCAGGGUUGACUGAAACAAAAUGGAUCUGGGAGACCCAGCAUAGCAAAGUAGCACCAGUCUCCACUUUAAAAACAAGGACAGGCCGGGCACAGUGGCUCACACCUGUAAUCCCCGCCCUUUGGGAGGCCUAGGCAGGUGGAUCACUUGAGGACAGAAGUUUGAGACCAGCCUGGCCAACAUGGUGAAACCCCCCUCUCCAUUAAAAAUACAAAAAUUAGCUGGGUGUGGUGACUUGCACCUGUAAUUCCAGCUUCCCUGGAGGAUGAGGCACGAGAAUCGCUUGAACCUGGAAGGCGGAGGUUGCAAUGAGCCUAGAUCGCACCACUGUACUCCAGCCUGGGUAACGGAGUGAGACUCUGUCUCAGACAAAAAACAAACAACAACAACAACAAAAAACAGGGACAAAGUCCUGGGAAUCUCUGGGGGUAGUGUGGCUGCAAAGCAGUUAAGGUUCCAGCAUCCUGGCAAUUAUUCUCUAGCCUAAGGAUGCAGACAGGGUUAAAACCCAGCAAGAAACUCCAAGCUAAAUGAAGUCGCCAUAUGUGUGGCUCAGUAGGGUUCUAGGAGAAGCAGACAGAUGUAAUUAGAAGUUCUCAGACAUUGUGUUGCCACAGCAACUGCUGGCCAGGAAGAAAGUGGGGAAAACCUGGAGUCCGAGGAAUACAGUCUUCCAAGGAAAUGCCAGUGGUGUUCAUCAUGCUUGGGCUUCAUGGCUGGCUCCUCCAGCUUGCCCAUGCCCAGGCUCUAGAAGGCCCUCUCCCUCAAAUUCCUCCUAAUCCCCAUUCCCACCCCUGGAGCAACUUCAAAUGCAAAUCAAGGGCUCCCUUCAGAGGGCAUCCAAAGGAAGGAAUGAGGAACUCUCAGAGGAGAGUUUGUGCAGAAGAGUAAUCUCUGGUCCCUGGGACUUUCUGGAGCUGAGUGAGGAUCAGUGAGGGAGGCUGCAAGUUUAAUUUAUGCAUCACUCUGGGGCACCUGUGAGUGUGGCCUUUGGCCAUAUAUUUUAUCAUCCAAAUGGGGACAUUUGAGAGUUAAAGGAAACCUUUUAAACAGGCAUACUUGGACAACAGGCCUAAACUGUGACACAUGGUCACCUUAAUUACUAGGCUGCCUAUGGGAUGGGAAAAUUUGUGGUUUUUAUUUUAGAGAGUGAGGAUGCUAACCUGGUAUCUAUGGGCCCCCAGAAACCCACCCAUAAAUUUUGGGACUGGAUUUUCAAGGGGGCAUGAAUUUUUCAAUACUCAAAAGACCCACACUCAAACCCAAUAACCUAGGAAAGACAAACCCUAAUUUACUGCUCUGGCAUGAACUGCCUUUUGUAGCCUUCAUCUCCCUUGAUUCAACAGCCACAGGAGGAUUUUCGGGGGUUCUGCUGCUGGGAAGCUGGGGAGCCUCAGCAGAUGGGACCAUCUUUGCUUCUAAGUCUUGAUCAUUACAAAUCCUUCCAACUACUCCUCUAAAGAGACAAUCAUUCAUUUCACACGUUGUCACCUAAGGGAGAUAGUUCCCUAUUCAUUGUUUACAGCAAUAAAGUGGUCAGUGGAGUGGGAUCAUUCCACAGCAGUGAGACCUAAUAAAUCUGCCCCUGAAGGGGAGUGGUUUCCAGGAGUGCAUUCUUACACAUUCUUUAACAUCUGAACUGAAAACAGUGGCACAGGGAUCCUGUAGUCAUGAAAUCGGGGAAAGAUCAGGCUCUCCCAGGGCACCAGCAGAAAUGACUAUGUUUUAGGCAUAAGAUAGCCAGCCUAGAUAUUAUGAGCAUGUGGUUCAGCCACAGGCUCAGUUACAAAACUGUAGGAUGUUUAAAGGGUAAGGCCCACCCAGAGUGUGUCUCCUAGAAUUUUCUCAAAGACUUUGGGAAUCACAGCCAUCUGGUAGGAGUUUCUGACAGUUACUCAUUGACUCAGGCUGGUGGUGGCCCUCUUCUCAACCCUGGUUUAAGGCUGGGAGUCCCUGGGCCAACAUGCCUAAUUUAUUGCACCUAUUACUCAGACAGGUCCUGAAAAGUAGAGCACAAGUUUCUGAGCUGAGUUUGGAACUUCUCAAGAUUUCUGGGGUGGUCAGGAGGGGCUCCUUAAAACCUGUAAGCAUCAAUUUUAACACCAUUGUUCUCUGCUAGUCAUGGGUGUCAGGAAGUUCUGGCACCCUCUACAGGUCCCCUGGAUUUUAAUAGUCUAGUUUAGAGGAAUGUUAAUCUUUGUGGAACAAACUAAGAACUACAUAAAAUCAGUUCCUUUGAAAAGAAAAGCAACAAUCCAAACACAAAUUAAUCUGCAUUUCCUUAUCAUUAUCUAACAUGGAAAUAGAUGAAAUCUAUAAGUAAUAUACAGGACAAUCAAACAAAAAAAUACCAAACUUCAUGCCAAGUGCCAGGGGCUCAAGGAAGAGUAAAGCAGUUUGUGUCUCUAAGGAGCUUGUAGCUUAGGUGAGAAGCUAGGGGAAUGAAUAUAUGCAAUUUUAAAUAACAGAACAACACAAUCUAAUAAGAGAUAACUCAAGACAAUGUUUGGCUAUGGUUAAGUGACAACUGUCUAGAGUAGUGCUGUCCAACAGAAACAGAAUAUCCAUCUCAUACAGAAUUUAAAAUUUUCUAGUAGGUACAUUUUUUUUUGAGACGAAGUCUCAAUCUAUUGCCCACGCUGGAGUGCAGUGGCAUGAUCUCAGCUCACUGCAAAUUCUGCCUCCUGGGUUCAAGCAAUUCUCCUUCCUCAAUCUGCUGAGUACCUGGGAUUACAGGUGCCUGCCACCAUGCCCGGAUAAUUUUUGUGUUUUUAGUAGAGACAGGGUUUCACCAUGUCGGCCAGGCUGUUCUUGAACUCCGGACCUCAAGUGAUCCACCACCUCGGUCUCCCAAAGUGCUGGGAUUAUAGUUGUGAGCCACCGCACCCGACCUCUGGAAGGUACCUUUUAAAAACUCAAAAGAAAUAAGGUGAAAUUAAGUGUAAUCACUUAUUUUAAGAAAAGAUAUCCAAAAUAUUACCAUCUCAACAUGUAAUCAAUAAUAUGGAGAUAUUUUAUACUUUUUUUUCAUACUAAGUCUUUGGAAUCUGGUAUGUCUUUUACACUUACAGUACAUCUAAAUUGGACUAGCCACGUUGCAAGUGCUCCAUAGCCACUGCAGCUAGCAGCUAUCGGCAUUGAACAGCACAGUUCUAAACAGUUAUGGGUGGAUGCGGUGGCUCACGCCUGUUAUUCCAGCACUUUGGGAGGCCAAGGCGAGACGAUUCCUUGAGGCCAGGAGUUUGAGACCAGCCUGGGCAAUAUAGCAAGACUCUGUCUCUUAAAAAAAAAAAAAAGAGAAAAAAGGAAAUAAAAAUAGUUCUGACCUCACUGCAUCAGAGGAGGAGGGUUUGAGGAGAAAGAGUAAGACCUUCCUUAACUUGGAAUACUUUUGAAGUGGUGUAUAACUAAAGUCAAUAGAGAUUAUCUGAACAUACAGGCAAGGCAGCAUGUCAGGCUGCAUCUGGGACCAGCAUACUGAGUAAUGAGGACCUAGUCCUUCGAAAAUGGGCAGGCGUCAUGGGCACUUAGGCUGAAUUCUGGCUGUUUUCAAUGCCUGUGGACAAGUCAUUUCACCCUUCUGGUCUCCUCUAUAAGAAAGGUAAAAUGUUUGGUACUUCCUCUCUAUAAGACUUUUUAUGGCUUAGCUCAGAAACAACGACAAAAUAGCUACUUAAGCUGUACAUAUUUGGAGCCUUCUCUUAGCUAAAUAUGCUUUUUUGGGGGCAUACAAAUCCAUGGACAAAUUUGGCAAUGAGAUAGAUAUAUCUUUUCAAAACCUUUUUAAAAAAUUUUCUUGGCUUGACUGCUACACUCUCUUGCUGCCAGCUUUCAAUAUUACACACACACAAACACAGUUUCAGUGCCUUGAGAUUAAAGUCAAUGAAAACAUGCACAUUCUAUUCUUCUUGAGACAUUCCUGCCUUGCAUUCCUUCCUUGAAGCAGUUGGGAUGUCACAGCUGGGGGGAAGGAGCUGUAAAACCUACUUAUCCUGGCCAAUCAGGCCUUGGCUGACAGGAGGCCCACCAAUGAGGGACUGCCAGGUAUUACGUUCCACUGCAACAAAUUCCCCAUUUUUUCAGAAAUUAAAACCCUCCGAGACCCUCAAGCUGUACACAAUGCACAAAGACCUCCUUUUUUGUUCAUUCUGUUUUCCCCCAAGGACUGCAUUAGAAACUCUACACAAAAAUGUACUAGCUUAGUUGCUAUAGAUAGAUUAUCAUUUGUGGUAAAAACACUUCCAAGUAUCAUGUAACAAUAUUGUUCUCACAGCUCUGGUAUCCUUCAUUUUAACUGUGUAAACACUGGAGAAAUGCCACAUAUUUAACUGUUUGGGGUCACCCUGAGAAACUCCCAACUCCACUGAAAAAUGAAGUAGUAUGCUCUGGUAAGUCCGGGAACUCUGACUUAAGGAGUUAAGGCGACAGGUAAGUGGAGGUGGUUGGCUCCCGGGGACUUCACCCAAUGCUGACCACUGUGUUAGUGGUGGAACGUUUCCCAGAAUGAGACUUCGCCUCUGAGAUCUUAAUGUGCAAAUCCAGUGACACUGAAUGCCUUUUUCUUUGUUUUAUCCAUACUGGAAACAUCACAGUUGCCAUUCAAAUGAAACCAGAGAGAGAGUAACAGCAGGAAGGAUCCAAAAAAGUAAAGGUUUCAGCAAAAGGUGAGGUCAAAAGACAAAGGUGACUAGUGACUAUGGGCAAAGAAUUACCAACAACAGAAUUUAAUGCUUUAUUUCAUAUUCCUUGGGACAUUAGCUUCCUCUGGGAAUGGUGCCAAGUUAUAUUAAAAUUGCUGAUCAUGGAAGGAAAGAAUAAAAAUAUUUACUAUUCAGCUAGCCUCUGCUUAACUUCCAACGUCACCUGGGCCUGAGAGAAUUAGAAUCCAGGUGUCUGAUUAAGCAAGCCCAGCACUACCAUUAUGUCCAAGAUUAAGCAAACUGUUGACGGGCAAGUGCUGUCAACCAUCUUCCCAGAUGCACAAUAUUCUUGCAGAAUAGGGCACAGAGAUGACUAUCAUUAAGAUACAAAGAUUGUAGGCACCUCUUCAUAUUGCAUAUGAGACAUUUGGCCUUAUUAAUCCAUUUAGCUAGUGGAUUAAUUCAACAAAUAUUUACUAAGCAUCUACUUACACUAAGCACAACUGGUUCUAGGUAUUAGAGAUCCACUGCAGAAUGAGAGAGACAAAGCCUCUGUUCUAAACGAGUACAUGCUCUAGAGGGAGGAAGGCUAAUAAACAAACAAAAAUACCAGUUCAUUUCAGCCUGUGAUCAGUAAGUUUAGAGGAAAAUAGAGUAUGUAUGACAGAACUCUGGGAGAGAGGGCACCACUUAGAUUGAGUGGUCAGGGAAUGCUUUCUUGAGCUGGGACCUGAAGGAUGAGAGCAAUUCAGACCAGAGAAGAAAAGUGCAAAUGUUCUGAAGCAGGGUGGAAUUUGUUACAUUCCUAGAACAGAGAAAAGGCCAGUGUAGCCACAGCACUGGGUCCAAAAGCCAGAGCAGCAAGAGGUAAGCUGGGAAAAGCUGGCAAGGGGUAGAGCAGUAAAGUUACUGAUAAUAAGUCUGUAUUUUAUUCUUAAUGCAAUGGAUGCCACUGGGGGGGUUUUGCUCAGGGAGUGACAUGAUCAGAUAUGUGUUUUACCAAGAUUACUCAGGCUGUCCUGUACAGAAAGAGCAAGGUCGCAGCAGAGAGAAAGGGGAGAGCAGCUAGGUGCUAUUACAAUAGUCCAGGCACAAUGAUGGCAGCUUGGCUAAGGUGGUGGCAGUGGGCACAGAGAAUAGUCAAUGGAGAGGUGAUACACUCUGACAGUACAGAAGACAGUACUUGCUGAUAGACUGGGUAUGAACAGAGAAAGUGAAAAAUAAAAGAGAAAAUUCCUGGGUACAUAAGUUGAUAUCCAAAAGCCCAGCCAGUUCUAGGUAGGUGUGCACAUGGCCAUGCUGAUGGCCCAUUCUAGAGUCACCGCCAAUAGGAUCUUCUCUGAGACAGGCUCUGGGUCCAGACAAGUCCCUUGCCUUCCUGAGGAAACUUAGUUUAUGAGGUGAGUUCAGCAAGGCCACUAAGACCUGGGGUCACAUAUAAAUAGAUCCUGUUCAUGGGAAGUCUGUCCAUGGAACACUAGCCUUGAAAUAUUUAUGGCCUUUUUUGAAAUGGUGUUCUGUGGUAGAAUGUUUGGGAAACAUUACUUAUUAUACUUCCUUCCUAGAGUCAUAAACGCACAUGAACUUUGUAAAACUCUGGAACGUCCUCUAACUAAAAAACCAUUUAACCCAGCACAUAUAUGGUCUUCACUCACUACACACUUUGGGUCUAGACUCUUCAUGUCUCUCCCUAUGGUGUUACCGUUCCUUGGAAUUCAAGCCAUAACAACAAGAAGAACAAUAGCAACUACUAUUUAUUGACUACUUACCUUGUGGGAGGCACGUUUGUAGACAUCAUCUCCCUUGCUACACACUAUGUACAGGUGCUAUUUUAAUUUACAGCUUUAAUUGUCAUUUGUGAGUUGUGCUCACAGAGCAUACAUUUACUUAGAAAAAAACAGCUAGGCACGGUGGCUCAUGCCUAAAAUCCCAGCACAUUGGGAGGUCGAGGCAGGGGGCUCACAUGAGGUCAGGAGUUCAAGACCAGCCUGGUUAACAUGGUGAAACCCCAUCUCUACCAAAAAUACAAAAAUUAGCCAGGCGUGGUCACAGGCACCUGUAAUCCCAGCUACUUGGGAGGCUGAGGCACGAGAAUUGCUUUAAUCCUGGAGGCAGAGGUUGCAGUGAGCCGAGAUCCUGCCACUGCACUCCAGUCUGGGCGACAGAGCGAGACUCUGUCUCAAAACAAAAACAAACAAACAAAAAACAGUGAUAUAUCUUUUCUGAUCAUAUAGAUCUGCAGUGCUCACUCACAGUAUUUUCUCAUGAAGCACUUAACAGAAAUUCUUCACUCAAUCGCCUCAUCUGCAUUUGCUUAACCCACUACAAUUAACAGAGUUUCCCACAUGCAUCACCACCUCCUUUCUUCCAGUCUUCCUCAUCACUAGUUUCCUCCUUCCUAUUUGUUCCACCCACUUCUAGGACAAGAACCAUUUGGGGACAGUUCAUCACAUGCUUUGAACGCUCUUAGGCUUAGAAUUCCUAACUUUUGUCUCUGUCUCAGAGACUGUCAUGACUUUCCGAAUAUGGCUACUGUCACAUCUGAGCCCACAGACUGGCAGUCUAGAACCUCAGCUAUCUGAGCCCCAAAUACAUGCACACACUUCAGCCUAGGCAGAGAAAAGACUUUUUACUGGAGUCAGAGUCAAACAACGAAUCACUGGAGAAUGAGGAAGUCUUUACAUUCCAGGCCACUGUAACAUGAGUAAUUACGGUCACUACACGACAAUGCCAUUUACACUGGGCAAAAUAAUGAUAGCAUUACCUGGAAAAUAACCCAAUCAACCAACGGAAACACAGCCACUGGGGAGGAACCCAGCUUGCUCUCUAAUCCACACAGCAAUUCCAUGGAGCAACUUAAACAGGAAAUGAAGAGACUUCUAUUUGAUCAAACGUGUAUGGGGAAUUUGGAGGAAAAACGCAAUUACCUAAACUGUAAAAUGACCAAUAUAGUGGGGUAGUCAUCCUCAAGCGCUGGUUGUUUUUACAGGAUUUCAUAUCCCUAUCACAGUUUAUUUUUGUCAAAAAAAAAAAAGUACCUAAAAUAGGACAUGUAAUAAACAAAAACCCCAACAUGGUUUCUUAUUAUCUAGCUUUUAUAUGUUCUUUUGUAGAAAAUGAAGAAACACAAAGACUCUUCUCCAAUUGUAUCUGUAAGAGGAAGCGGUUAACUUUGUAACUAUCCUUUAAAACAACAUGGUCCACAAGUAGCUUGGGGGGUUUUAUUAAGAAAUAAGGCUGCAGUGAGUGCUGAAAUUAUUAUACCCAGCAUUUAGCCAAGACUUGAAUGUCUGGCCUCUACUCAAAACAUUUCCCAGUCCCAUUCUCCCUUCUAGUUCCAUCUCCCAAGAAAGGAGAUUGAGAAACCCAAAAUGGACUCACACCUGAAGUGUGUUCCUACUGGGAACUGGGGUUUUCUUUGAUCAUUAUCAAGCCCUUGGUGCCACACAGAAAAUUACCCUUCUGUGGAACAGGAUGCAGACACCAAUUAAUGCAUAAAGUGAACGUCUUUCUCCUUAAAAUAAAUAGCUAAACCAGAAAAUCUGCAUCUCUGCAUGUGGCUGUCAGCAAGACCAAGGCCACACAGGAUAAGAAAGGAAAGAAAAUAGAAAAUGUCAAGGAGGGAAAACUAGAGGAAGGGGAACAAAGCAUAAACAGACACAUUCCUGAAAAACUGUUGGGACUCUAGGGAGAAGCCAGGUGAAUUUCCUGCUUCUGAUGUAGGCCUCAGCUUGUCCCUGUAGCACCAUAAUUAUAGCACAUAGUGCAAAACCAGGGAUGGUGGUGCCCUGGGAGAAGCGAAGCUGCGUGCUCCUUGAGUAUUUGUGAAUGACUGGCAAGCAUACAUCUGCCUCCAUCCCAAAGCAAGUUUUGUGAGCUCAGCUGAGCCACCAAGAAGCCAUGCUGGGCCCUCCUGGUAGGGACCACGACAGUAAAGGGAACUCAGUAUGUCUGAGUCUUUGCUCAGGGUGAGCAUCUGUAUUUCUGUUUCAAUAGUGUUUAGCCUCUCUGAUAGAAAUUCCACUGUAUCAAUUUCACACUACAGUUUAGAUGAGCCAGGUAUAUAUGUGUGAAGGGGAUCAGAAAUUUCUUGGACCAUCUUUGAGGUCCCAUCCAUUUUCAUUUUCUCUGUCACAAAUGUUAUGCCACAAACUACAAACUUGGGCCCUCUCAAUAGCUAAAAAUACAUGUAAUUAGCCCAACCCUUACAGAAGCUAAUAGGAUAUGUUGGCUGUGGGAUUAGGGAGGGAAAACCUAUCUCUUAUUUUUGGAAUAUGGUAGGGAAUGAGUGAAUGAAUGACACGCACUUAUUAAAUUCAUUAACAGGCAAACUUCACACCAUAAAAAUAAGCACUGGUCUAUGUGCCUAGGCUUAGAAAGAAAUUAGGCAGUAUAACAGAAGUCAAACACUAAACUAAAUUAAAACAAAACAAAUGCCACAGGAAUUUUUGUGAGAAAAGUCUCACCAUUAGAGCUAUAGGGAGAUGGCCAUGUUCUCCUAGUGGUGAAAUUUAAGUCAGUGUCUAUUUGUGUGUGUGCAUGUCUCCUUGUGUAUUCUGUAUGUACACAGACACAUAUCCAUGCGCGCGCGCACACACACACACACACACACACACACACACACAGUCUACCCUGGGGCACAGCCAAUUUUAAUUCAAUUCUAACCUGUACUGUACCCUUACUAGAAAACCCACCUCCAAUAUUGAGCUGGCUGGUUCCCCAGUCAGAUCAAUAGCACAAUUUAGCACAUGAGGAUUUUCUACUGAGAUUCGGGAACUGGAGUACAGGCAGGGUACCAAGCAUUUCAGCAGGACUAAAACAUCUCCAUUGGCCUUUGCUUACUGUGUUCACCUUAACAAGUCACUUGAUUAACCAUUGGGUCAAAGCCAAAGACCAGUGCCCAUGGGCUGUAAUAAGAGCCUGAUCUGACCAGAGAUCAGGGCCAGGGGAGCAGGGCAGGCAAUUCAUUAAUACUUGUUCAGGAGCCCCUGGAUCCUGAUCACGGGCCAGGCAACAUGAUGAGAAGGUAAUAAGAAACAUUCCAGAAAACAAAAUUAGGGUCCAUGCAAUAGUUUCAGACAACUAUUUUUGUAAGCCAUUUGCAAUACUGCAUCAUUAUUUUUCAAAGAAAAUGUGAACAUUUACAGAAGUGAGAAAAAGUUUUGUUUGCUUUUGUUUUUCAAGUAAGUUCAAUAAAUCCCAAAUUGCACACUCUGAAUUAGGGGUUGUCUUCCCUUUUUCCCCCCAAAAUUUCUCGAUCGACUACAAGGAGACCCAGGACUCUUCAUUUCUUCCCCAGUGUUGUUGAGCAGUUGGCUUCUGAAGUGGAAAAUCAAGUGAUUCAUUUCUGUAGAGUAAACAGCAUUUGGGAUUCCUGGGCAUGAAGACUGUUCAGGUGCCACAUGCUGUACUGUUUAUAUUCCACUCACUACAUGGCGAGAGAAGGUAAAGGACACAAGAUGCCUCCUGUUUUUAUUCACUCUGUUUUCUCAUACUUGAGCCAGCCUAUCUUUCAAACUGUUCUUCGCUAGGCUGUAAAUCACCCUAAGAGUGAAUCAAAUAUCCCAAUUCCAUUAAGUAGAAUAUUUUUAUAAUCUAGCCUAGAAUAUCCGCCUCCUUUUACAUGAAUAGGAUUUCAAAGCUGCAUUUUAGAGCCCACCUACUCUAACCCCCAUAUUUGGCAGAUGAGGAGUCAGGUGGCUGCUCAUUACCUGGGGUGCCACUGUCUGUCCUGAGUUAUUCGUCCCAGCCCAUCUCUGGCCAGUAAAUGGAGGUUUGUUUGAAGCCAGCUCACACCAGGGAUGUCUGUAAACUCAGCCACAGUUUCAGCCAGCACGCUGCUAUCUUCACUCUGAACCUUUCAAGGCAGCUGAAUCCUGACAGUCUCAUAGAUUCACUCACCUGUUUCCUAUGUGUGCGGCUCAUUGCCAGUCCCCCGGGACAGUUUAAGACUAACUAAGAAAACUGGGGAAACGAGUGAGGACAGGCAACCAAAGUAAGAGCUGCAGAACCAUGCAGAUUGUGCUAAAAAGGCACAGAGCCAAGCAGACAGUGUCUAGACUUUAACUGGCCUCUCCCAGAGAAGAGGCGUGCAGGGAGGAGGGGAGAGCAAGGCCGGAAAGCCUGCUCGGGUUUUGUUCAGCUAAUGCAAACACAUGACAGAACCUCUGACAGGCUCCAGGCUGGGGGUUCACUCGAAGUCAUUUCUUCCCAGGGGCUGGAAUUCAGCUGGAGGCUGAGGAAAUUCUGCUAAUCCAGCAAUCAGAAGGAAGCUGGGAAUACUUGUUUUAAUUCCUGGGGAAUCACAGUUCCCAAACUAGACUGACUUGUGCAACAGCCCGAAGUAGCACACUGUGGGUACAAGAAACCAGAUAUUUAAGAUUUCCAUGUCUAUCAUCUCUGCUUAUCUAUGAAGAAAAUCUACAAAAACACAGAACUGGCUUUUGAUGGAGGCCUAGUACAAAAACUUUGCAAGAGUCUAAAUGAAAUCAAUUUAUAAGAUGCACAAAUGUAGAAAUGACUGCCAUAGUCUAAUAAACAACACAUGACUCAGAGAUAAUGUUGGGUUUGGGGACCUUUGCACAUAAGUUAGAAAAAAAGGUGCUCCUUCCUGUGGGUGGGCAGACAAGCCCUGUGCCACACACAGGUACAUGACACACUUGUGCAGUGAACAGUCUGUACAACCCCACCUAGCAACUCUGCUGGCGUUUUAGAGCUGUCUUGCCAUUUGGCCUUAUUUAAUGUGGAACAGUUGUGAAUACAUCUGAAGAACAAAGAAAUUGCCUUAAAACAUCCCCGAAGGCUGGGCACUGUGGCUCACGACUGUAAUGCCAGCACUUUGGGAGGCUGAGGAAGGAGGAUCGCCUAAGCCCAGGAGUUAGAGACCAGCAUGGGCAACAAGGUGAAACCCUGUCUCCACUAAAAACACAAAAAUUAGCUGGGCCUGAUGGCACAUGCCUGUAGUCCCAGCUACUCUGGAGGCCGAGGUGGAAGGAUUGCUUAAGCCAGGAUGUAGAGGCUGCAGUGAGCUAAGAUUGUGUCACUGCUCUCCAGCCUGGGCAACAGAGCAAGAUCCUGUGUCAAAAAACAAAACAAAACAACCGCUACAAAAAAAACCCCCCAAAACUCCUAAGUCACUGACCAUUAGGCUGCAAAUGCUCCAUUGUAAAAACUGCAUUCCAAUGUGACUCAGAAGUAACUGGACCUAAUUCCAAAUGGAGGUCAUGUCUGCCAUGUCUAUGUGGCCAGAAUGGCCAAGCCUGAAGUGUCAUUCCAGGCACAUAGCCAUAUAACAACUGAUGUUACCUGGAAAGUUAAAUGACUGGGGCCUCUACAAUGCUGAAUGGAUGUUACUUAGCAGAAGUGUCUUUGGUUUUCAAACUUCCAUAAGACACAGUGACUAUCAGUCAUUUUUCAGAGCUCAGCUGGUGGCUCACUUCCUCCUGGAAGUGCUCCUGAGCCCUUCAUGCUGGGUUAGGUUUUCAGCCCUGUCCUAAUACUUCUCACAUUGCAUCACUUUGAGCCUGUGUUCCUGUCUGCCUCCCCUCCGGACUCUUUGGGAACAAGCUCUUUGGGCACAAGGUCUCUUAUCCACCAGCACUAACUCGGUGCCUGACAGAGAACAGAUUUGCAAUACCUUUUGCUUUCCUCUUUUGAGCUGACUUUGAAAAAUUUUACUUUGUCCCAGAUGAGUGAUGCAAAAUAGUGUAUUGAGACUUUGUGAAGUUUUAUCUCUGCAUCUAAUGUGAACAUGGUGGUUCGUGAAUGUUUGGCAGCUCCUACUGCGGCCCAGACACUUCAGGAUGACCUCUCUGUAACGGUGAGAGAAGGAAAAUAGAGGAGAAAGAUGAAGCGAAGAGCAAAGAGCAACAUAAGGAGUUGUACAGAGAGCUGGCUCAAAGGCCAGGAGGGGUGGGCAUGUGAGGCUGGCAUCGGACUGGCUGCAGACACAGCAGCCCCUCCCUAGUGGGACUCCAGGUCUGUGUGCAAAGUACCAGAAGCUGUGGACUUGGCUCCCAAAGGGACAAAUUCCAGCUUGCUCCAGGAAUACUUCUUACCCUGUCUUUGAGAGUAAUUGGCGCUUAUUUUUGAAAUAAUGAAAGCAAAGGAUCCUACUCCUUUGCAUUAUCACAUUUUCCACACCAACAAUUUGGAAUUUAUUGCCUGGUAACAUGCCAUGCUAUGAAGACCACAGCAAAGUGGAAAUGACUACCCAAGAUAUCUGUUUGCCACCUCCAUACAUACCUCUUUUUUUGCCUUUUCUUUCUGUUUUCUUCCCAGUUAUUUCCAUUCACUCACUCUACCUUUAGGGAGAACCUAUGCUGGCUUCCAAUCCUACUGUCUCUGCACAGGAGAUGCUCCAUGAGUACUUCAAUCUCUUCCUGGAGGAAUGAUAGAACUGUGGCUUCACAGAAGAAACACUACAUAGAAGUUUAAGGGCAAGAUUAGCUCAGUAGAAGCAAGGGUUGUGGUAUAAAUUCUGGACCUUAAAGCAUCCACUGAAGUAAAUAUCCUUGUUUUCUCUUUAAAAAAGAAGGUGAUACUUAAAUCUCUGGAGAGAGAAAAAUAAGCAAGGAGACUUCUGCAUGCCAUGAGCACACAUAUACACGUGCAUGAAUGUGUGCACAAACACAUGUGUGUACACACGUGUACACACACACACACAUACACCAUGACUUUUGGAGUUCAUCCCAUAGAGAUGCCCCGAGGAUGAUAAUACCAACUAACACUGCACACUGUGUGCCAAAACACUUUGCUUUACAUGUAAGAGCUUAUUUAAUUCUCACAACUAACCUAUGGGGUAGAUACUCUGGAUGAAGCCCAUUUUAGAGAUGGGGAAACAGGCUCAGAGAGGUUUUAAGUAGUCUUCCCAAGAUCACAUGGCUAGUAAGGGCAGUGCUAGGAUUUAAUCUAGCUUCCAGGUCUGAGCGCUAAGCCAUUAUGUUAUACUUCCUCUCAAGGAAAAAUCAGUAAUCAGAAUAAUAACCUGAGCCAGCACAAAGGCUGUGCAAAUAAAGACCAUGCCUAGUGGAUGUUUACUUGUAUAUUGAGGAUUCUCCUGGUGAAAUCAUUACAGAGUCAAAAACAUAAGCAACCCUUCAUCUCUUGCAGGUAUUUGUUUUUGGUGUUGACUAUACACCAUGAGUAGAGGAGACCUUUUCCAUGAUCUAAUCGAGUAGACAGGUAGAGACACAGGAAUGAUUCCCAUUCUACUGGUAAGGAAAGUGACUUCGGGGAGGUUAAGUAACUUGCACAAGGCCUCACAGCUGGACAAGGCCAGAAUUCAAACUCAGUCCACUGCCCCAAAGCCCUUGCUCUUAACUGAAGCUACAAGUUAGAGACAUUAUGUGACUUUAAAAAGGUGCCCAGAAAAGGGCACAGCAGGACUUCUAAGUCAGACUCUUUCAUUGUUCUACAGUGUUGCUCUUAAUAACAAAAUGGGUUUGUUACAGAGUCUAUGAAAAAGAGAGAUUUAGGCCUGGCAUCGUGGCUCAUGCCUCUAAUCCCAGCACUUUGGGAGGCUGAGGUGGGUGGAUCACUUGAGGUUGGGAGUUUGAGACCAGCCUGGCCAACAAGGUGAAACCCCAUCUCUACUAAAAACACAAAAAUCAGCCGGGUGUGGUAGCAGGCGCUUGUAAUCCCAGCGGGACUCCAUCUCAAAAAAAAAAAAAAAAAAAAAAGCAGACUUGGAGACACCCAGAAAUGAGAACAAGAAAAGACAAGGAAAAUGGGAAGAGAAAAACAGUAGACCCCCGGAACGGUCACAAGGUAAGAUAAAGUUCCACACAAAAAGCUGCCAUCUACUGGACACACUGAUUAGGUGGACAGGCUGAAAAGGGCCCCAGCUGCCCAAGUGGAGUCUUUCAAAUUCUGAGAAGGCAGGGGCUAUCUAUCCCACUGCCAUGUUUCAGGAUUUUCUGAAGUAGUGGCAAGAGGUGAGGAAGGGGAAUUUCUGCUAAAGCCUUACAUCUGACCCCUAAUGGCCAAGCAGCGAUGGUGGUAGCAGCUCCUUCAGAACAGGGAUCUGUAUGGUAAGGCUUUUUAGUCCCACACUGUUCCUAGUAGUAGCUUAUGUGUAAACUGACUAGCAUAAUGCCUGACACUUCUGUAGAUCAAUAAAUUACACUUAUUAACUGUCAUUGAAGGAUAAGAGGAAAGACGGGGAAAAGACAAAUUUUGCCUCAGACAUAGGAUUUUAAAUCUUGAAACAAAAAGUAUAGAAAGACAGAGAGAUGUUUUCCUCUCACCAAUUCAAGCCAAUAUCCCAUGACAUACACACACACAUGCACACAUGCAUGCACAUAUAAAUCUGGGCCUGCAACAUGUGAUAGCUUUUGUCAUGUAUCACAUGACUUAUUUGUCAACAGCUUGGUUGGUCACAAACAGUGUCUGGGAUUAUUCAAGGGACAUAUGGGGGUCAUACGUUCAGACUUAAUCCUGGGAAAUAGUUUAUUGGUGAUGGCUUCCAAAUGAGCAUCUGAAGUCUGUGAAAAGAUGAAAUGGAAAUCCUCCAACCAAAGCAGGAAAUGAAGAUUUAUGGGAAUUAUUUUGUACUCCAGCUACCCAAAGAGCAUUCUAUUAGCAAAUUAUUGCCAGGCUGCUGUUAAUGCAAAAGCUGUUAUCUACGACAGCAGCAGCUCUUAGAACUUUAGCAAGAGCAACUAUUCACUUCAUCAGAAUAGCCAAGAAAAUUCUCGUUAUAUUUUUGUUGAUGGGGCCAAUGUUAGAAGGUCUGGCUUAUUUUAAGGUGUUCAGAUUCAUCCAAAGAGCUUAGAAGCUUGGGCCAAAAUCUGGUGUAAGUGCUGUUUUCCUGACAUUUCAUCCAUUUGCUAACCCCGUUCUAUCACCUAUUACCCCAUGUUGUUUUUGUCAGUUUCAUACAGUCCCAAACUCUGCCUUCUAAUUAUCUUGAUUUUGGCUAAAGAUGUGUCAAUGUUUGUCAAAUUGGACUGAUCUACCAUCCAGCAGGGAUGGUAAAUAGCUUUCAUCUCAUAUAGACUCUGAUUGCUAGUGACCACCUAGAACAUUGCUGAGUAGGAUUUUCAAACCUUCUCCAAGUUCAGUAGGAAAGAAUUCUACGAUUGAUUAGAAAUGUCUGCCAUGGGUAACAGAGAGAGUAGUGGUAAUACGUAUGCCAUGUCUGUGCCAUCUCUGAAAGGCCAUUUACCACCCCACCUUUUUCUCCUUAAGCAAUCCCUGAAGUCCUGCCCCUUGGAUAUUUCACCCAGUGCCUUGACACCAUGACGAUUCUUGUGAUCCCCUCCUUUUUUUGAGAGGAAUUUUCCCUUCUCCUAAUAUGUAUUUUAUUUAAAUAAAAAAGUUAAUGUGUUAUUUUCUGAUAAAAUAUGAAAAUAAAAUAUGCUAAUUAAAAGCUUAGAGAAUAUAGAAAAGACUAGAGCAAAGAAUAAAAUGACCCAUAAAUCUACUACCUACAGAUAAUUUCUAACAGAUUUGUUUGUUGUACUUUUCUAUAAAUUUUUACAGUCGUGAGAAUAAAGCUGGGGGGUGUGUGCUUUUUAAAUUAAAUUAUAAUCAUUUGCCAGAGCUUCAAAAUGUUUUUGUAAAUGCUUUUGGUGGCACAUAUAGCUGUUCCAUGAUUUAUUUAACCCUUCUAUGGUUGACUAUGUAGUCAGUGUUAAGUUUUUUGCUGUCAUAAAUAACAUGACUGACAUCUUAUGUAGAGUCCUUUCAAAAGUAAUAAUAACCAGGGCAAAAUGGUCUAACAGAAUGAUUUGAGUUCUUUGCUGAAUUUAAUAUAGAUUACAGUGAGCCCUGGAAUAUCUAUCCAUCCACAAAACAGUCAAGAAAGCUCCCCAAAGCUGAUCUAAAGUUUACUAAAAUGGAUUCAUGUCAAUUAAGGCUGUAUUUCACUGUGUUUGCUGCACAUCCUUGUAGCUAACAAGGAAAGCCAUUCAUUGUUAACAAGUUAAAAUGUUAAAAAUAACAUCCAAAUAGGAAGUCUCAUAUAUAGAGGGUUAAUUUAUCUUUCAUUAAUUAUUGAAGGUUUGCUGUUGUUAAAACAUGGAUUAAAAACUUGCCAAAUGUUACCUGGGCUAGACACCAAGAGAAGAGACAGAUUAAAAGAUAGCCAUCUUUGGCGCAGAGUCACGAAAUGUACCCUAGAUCAUCCCUAUCCCUCAUUUUCUUCAUGGUAACUUUUCCUGUAUGUAACUUCAUGGUAACAUACAGGUUCAUACCUUUCUGUACCAACUCCCUCAGUCUUGUUGCAUGGUGCCUACAUGGGCCAGAUGUAAAAGUUCAUGAAGCUAUAUAUGGAAGAUUUGUGCAUUUUGCUACCAUAAAAGGAUCUUACAAAGGAAGGCCCUAUAUUAAUGUAAAUUUUAAAAAAAACAGCAAUAACAAGCAUAAAGCUACCAGUUACUAUGUAGUUAUAAUAAUAUAAACUGUAGCUGCCACAAUUUAAAGCACCUGGACCCACCGCUGGAUUGUAAAUAAUGUGAGGGCAGAGACCACGCCUUGUGCUUACUGUGACUCUGACCUGAGUACCAGGUGUGCUCAGCUGCAGCAGGGGAUAGACUCGAUGAGGACAGUGAAGGGAAGGCCAUGCCACUCAUGGCGUACUCUCAGAGAAAGCGCCCCUUGCCAAAAUCGCAGGAAUCAGAAUAGAGCAUCCUAGACAAAAAGUAUGCAUUUGCCCUCUGAGGACAUUAAUCAUCUGGCUUACAAAGUGAACCUAUCUAACUCUACUUUUUUUCUCUAUUAACUGGUAUCAUUAAGCUAAUAAAAUUUAUGUCUGUUAGAAACAUUCUGCCAGAUGUCCAGUUAUUUGAAGAGGACUAAGACAAAGAAUCCAUGACAUUUUCAGUUCUCAUAUGUGAUCACUGGUAUUUACAGCUCAUCCUUUACUUCCUGUUCAUGUGGCAGCAUGUGUUGCUCUGCCUCACUGACUUCGAAGACUUUCUUUUCGUCUUUGGGGCAUUUCCUCUGGGAUCAUUACCUCCACUUCAGCCCAUGACCAGAUCUUCACCUCAUGGUUCCUCUCCAACUUGCUUCUAUGAGCCUGGGGAUGGAGUCCUAGUUUCUGUCACCCAAUCCAGAGACUUCUAAGGGAACUGUAACGUGUCCACCUUCUAAAGCCACUUGCAAUGGCCAGGGCCUCGUAUGCUGGGUGCUUGCCCUUCUGUUCUGGCUAGUCUGCAGAGUCCCUGCUAUGUUUUACACCCCAAUUUCCAGCAAUGGUCUUUAGAAUUGCAACAAGUAGCUUAUUUGCCAAAGGAUAAACAAGCAAGAGAUCAUUUUAGAGAUCUUUUUAGCUUUGUUAAUAAUACAAGUUGUGGCACCAAGAAGAUGCAGUCAGAGAUACGGGUUAGAUGCAAGGCUUACUUGAGUCUACCAUCAGAACAAUUCUAAAGAACAUAGAGGAGCUCCCAAAUAUAACCCCUAGUGGUUAAUUAUAUGCCGAUAAUAGGGUACAAUGAGGUUAAGAAACGUGGCCUCAGGACAAAGCCCUCAUAAUCUUCUAGUAUUGCACGUCUAGAGCUAAGUGAAGUACAUCUGUUUGUAGAAUUGCUAUUGUUCUCUCUUAGGUAAUGCACUCAAAGUUCAUGGGUCAAGCAUGGAUCCCUUACUGGAAUGAGGAUUCUGAACUACAAAUCAGUUAACUGUACAUGCGACUUAUCAUAAUGAAUUUCUAGACCUGGAAUGCUGAGAAUCAUAGUGACGGCAGAGACAUCCGCCAGGGGAGAGUUGGGGUAUGCUUUGGUACUUGCCAAGGCUGUCUUCCUAAAGCAGGCAGUUGGGCCACAGGGUUCUCUCCAGCCUGCCAUGUUAGAGUGACAGAUACCCACUGACUGAGCUUCAAGGGCACACACACUACCGCCUGUGUUCUUAACAUUUUCCCAGGCUCCAUACUAUGCAUCCACCAUCAACACUUCUCAAUGAACUGUAGUAACUCCCAAUGGGAGGGAGAUGGGAAAGGGUAGAUGAGCAGGCUCACACAGCCCUCUCCCCAGAGAAUCUAGAAAAGGGGUAUCUGUGUAAUUGUUAGUGGAGGCACUCCCUCUGCUGCUGCCCUCUCUGCCUAGUCCAUUCACAUGUUAAUCUACACACAUCUAGAGACAUAUGCUACACCCAGUACCUUCUUUUAAGCAGACUACAGAGUGCAUGGGUGUGUGUGCUCAGGUGAUGUGGCAGAAUCUGGAGGGAGGCUGGCUGAAGGUAUAUGCUGCAGACAGAGUAGUAAGAGAGUGAGCAGGUAAGAAAGAGAAGAAGCAAUCAGAAAGCAACCCUGAGGUGCCAAGGAAGUAGGAGACCAUGGAACACAUUCAAAACAAUAUGACACUUUGCUUAAUGAGUUUGUUUCUAUUUUUUUAAAUACAAGGUUUCGCUCUGUUGUUCAGGCUGGAGUGCAGUGGCACCAUCAGGGCUCACUGCAGCCUCAGCCUCCUGGGUUCAAGUGAUUUUCCUGCUUCAGCCUCCUGAGUAGCUGGGACCAGAGGCGUGUGCUACCAUGCCCAGCUAAUUUUCUUAUUUUUUGUAGAGAUAUGGUCUCACCACGUUGCCCAGGCUGGUCUCAAAUUCCUGGGCUCAAGCAGUCCUCCCGUCUUGGUCUCCCAAAGUGCUGGGAUUACAGGCAUGAGCCACUGAGCCCAGGCUCCUUAAUGACUUUUGUUAAUAGUUUUGUGAAUCCAACCAAAUGGGAUUGACAUAGACUGGCAUUAAUACUGAUGACAAUCACCUUUUCCCAAGUGGAGAGCACCUCUGAUUCUGGUUUACUACAGAGGCUCUGGCUUCUUCAAAUAUCAACAUGAUUUGUAAAGCGAUUAAAUUGUUUAAAAAUAUGCUGAAUUAAAUAUUUAUGGUUGCAGAAAAGCAGAAAGCACAAAGAAGCCUCAAUUUAUUUUCUAAAUUUCAUUUCUAAAAAGUUCAACAAUAUUUGUACAAUUUUAGCGAUCUGAAGUUUACUAAAAUAGAUUCAUGUCACUAAAGACUGUAAAUAUCAUGAUGUGACCAUUUCUGCAGACUGUCCUUAGAGUUAACAAGGAAGAAAUUUAAACAGCAAGCACCAUUAACUACAAGAUAAAAUGCUUUUAAAAAAUCCAUAUUACAAUUCCCAUAGGGAGAGGGUUAACGUACCUCUUCAUCAAUAGUUAAAGGUAUAUUAUUAUUAAAUGGAUUAAAAACUUGCCAAAUGUUACUUGGCCAGGCACCAGGAGGUUGGAAUAAUUAAAAGAUAAUAAUCCUUAAUAACCUGGAGCCAUGAAAUGUAAUCUAGCUCAUACCUACCCCUCACUCUUUUCAUUGUAACCAUUUCCACACACUGUGAAUUCACAGCCUUCUUUCUCCACCAACGCACUCUGUUUCCACAUCUCAGUACUUCUCUAUUUUGCCUUCUUCCCUGUAGAGUUUGCCUGGGAAUUCUGUGAGAGCACUGGAUGCUCUUCUACCUCCAGCAGGAAAUUGCUGCUGGGGGAACUUCCUACCAGGGAUAAGUUUUCCCUGUGAGGAAGGGGGUUGGGAGGGGUGUGUGUCUUGCAGGCCGCCUAGAAUAGAUCCCAGACCUUGGGCCACACAGCCUGGUGAGUGAACCAACAGCCUCCUCACACCUCAUAUUUGCAUUCCAGUUCACUGAGUGAUUUCACACACUGGCUGGCAAUUCUUAAGCCUCCUGGAAAACCAACCAGGGAUUCACCUCAUCCAUCACUGGUCUGCAACUGCCUUUUGAGGGCCACAGCAGGGGAUGGAGGAAUGUUUCUUAAUCAGGGCUACAUCAGCCAGUGAAGGGGGAUACGCUCUCAAAUGCAAAUCUUGGAAAACUAAAUGGAUAAGAAGCAGACCUGGAGUUCAAGAUGGGCUCCAAAGGUAGAGAGGUGGGUUCAGAUCCUGCUUCAGAGCUAACUAGUUGUAUGACCCUGGGCAAAUUACCUAAUCUCCUUAAACCUGUUUCCUCCUCUGUAAAAUCCGGAUAAUAAAGCCUACAUUACAGGGUUUGGGAGCUUUAAAAGAAAUAACUGCAGGUAACGUACACAGCCCAGUGUGUGGUAUACAAAAAUGUACUUGGUAAAUGUUAAACCAUUGUGCUUGGAAGUGGUGUAGGCUAAUGGUCAAGAGCCUUGGGUCCGGAGCCAGACUGUUUGUGUUCAAAUCCCACCCUUAGCAUUUAAUAGCUGAGAGCAUUGGGUAACCUUCUCUGACUCAAUUUAUCUGUCAUUAAAAUGGAAUUUUAUUACAACAUAGCAGAUAUUUAAUAAAUAUUAGCUACUUUUAUUUCAUUGGGAGUAAAAACAGUUGACUGAGUUUCCACCUUAAUCAACAACGUAGUAGUGAAUUAAAUGAGAAUUCAGUACAAUGCGUAUUUUUAAAAAAUUGUGAACACCUUGUAUGCAUUUAUGACUUUUUUGGGUAGAGUCAAGCUGCGAUGCUAAGGGUGUGGUUAAACUGUAAUAUGAAGGAAAAAAUUCAAACAGGGAGCAUAAACCACCCACCAGGGAGCUAUUUCUUUUGUAAUGUGCAUUCCAUUUCUUCUCCCUCAUGCUUUUUAAUUCCUUCCAUAUUUCCUGCCAUAAUUAUCAAAUGUUUAGUUUCUGACCUCACUUUCCUGGAGACUGGAGCCCGGGGAAUUUAGAAUUGUUUAUUUUCUGUCCAUAAACCCUUGAGUUAAUGGAGGGGCUUCUGAGCAGAGUUUGUUGGUUUGUUUGCAGUGUCUCAGGAAGGUCGUUAGAGUUGAAAAAAUUGGUACAAAAAAACAAGCGCUGAAAUGCUUUAACUGGAAACUCGAGCCCCCAAAGAGCAGAGCAAUGGAUCUUCUCUUACACUUGCGCAACGUUACAGGGAACACUUCGAAAAGGCCGUUACAUUGCCCAGAUGAUAACACAAAACCCGAGGACACUUCACAAAGAAGAAAAUACAUUUCAGGGAAUCAUGAUCUCACUUUAAAAGAGAGAAAGGAAAAUUAAUUUUGCCCCAAAAGAAGAAUCCCGAUUCCUCUGCCCCCGCCCCCAGGAGACAGACUUGGGAGGGAAAAGUCCCCAACUACUCUCAGUCUCCUCUGAAGUGAAGGACGGAACUGAGGCGCCUUUUUGAACUCGCUGCUGCUCCAGUCGCCGCCUCGUCCCCGUCGGCCCAGCCCGUCCCCUCUCCUCCUCCCCGCUCUCCCUCCAUGUUAGCCGCGGCAGGGCUCCCGCUUACGGCCCGAACUACUUUUCCUGCUUUAGAGAUUUAAGUUUCGUGAGCAGCAUUCCUGCCCGCAGCACUGCCCCAGCUCCACCCCAGCCCACCCCAAGGACCGAAACUCCCAGCGCCGCCCCGGGAGAGCAUCCCCAGGACGCGCGCCCACCCGCCCAGCGCGCAGACCCAAGCGGCCCUGGGGACCGAGUUCGGACUCCUCGGCCCCUCGCCUACCUCGGCGCGGACCCAGGCGACCGCCACCAGCGCGAGCGCGAGCCAGCGUUUCCACAUCUGCGGAAGAGAGAACAGAGCGAGUCUGAAGGCGCUGGGCCCCGCGCCGACCUGGGAAACUUGCUCGGGUCCCUCAGGCUCGCUCCCGCCGCCCAAGCACCCCCGGCCGAACGAAGAGUCCGGCCUCGGCGCCGUGCGCCCUGCGCUCACCAUGGUCCGGUCCAGGUCUCCGGGGGGCGCGGGGCAGGACGGCCGCAGCGAGCUCUAAACGGAGGUGGGAGCUCCGCGGAUCGCCAGCCUCGGAGGA